AUGGCGGCAGCUGUCCACGACUCUCGUCAUAUAGGACGACACAGAACCAAAAGGGUCAGCAAGUCUAGUCUGAGACAGAUAAUCCCCUCCAUCCCUCAGCCUUGCGGCCGGAACGGGAAGAUCGUGAGGAUUGGGACCAAGGUCUCCCUGUCCCCAAGCAGAACUGAAGACCAUGGGCACCUGUGCAGCUGGGCUGAGGAGCUCUGCACAGGGGAGGAAGUCACACAGCACCACAUUGAAGAUGUGGGCUCAGAUGAGGAGGAUGAUAGUGGGAAGGGCAAGAAAAGGGAAACAAAGAAGAUUAAGGGGAAAUGCAUAGAUCAGGAAGAACUGAACAAGACCAAGCCCAUUUGGACCAGAAACCCUGAUGACAUUACCCAGGAGGAAUAUGGAGAGUUUUACAAGAGUCUUACUAAUGACUGGGAAGACCACUUGGCAGUCAAGCAUUUCUCUGUAGAAGGUCAGCUGGAAUUCAGGGCAUUGCUGUUUAUCCCCCGUCGGGCUCCUUUUGACCUCUUUGAGAACAAGAAGAAAAAGAACAGCAUCAAACUCUAUGUUCGCCGUGUGUUCAUCAUGGACAGCUGUGAUGAAUCGAUACCAGAGUAUCUCAACUUCAUCCGCGGUGUGGUUGACUCCGAGGACCUGCCCUUGAAUAUCUCCCGAGAAAUGCUCCAGCAGAGCAAAAUCUUGAAGGUCAUUCGCAAAAAUAUGGUGAAGAAGUGCCUUGAGCUCUUCUCUGAACUGGCAGAAGACAAGGAGAACUAUAAGAAAUUCUCUGAGGCGUUCUCUAAAAACCUAAAGCUUGGAAUCCCUGAGGACUCUACUAACCGGCGCCACCUUUCUGAGCUGCUGCGUUACCACACCUCCCAGUCUGGGGAUGAGAUGACUUCUCUUUCAGAAUAUGUGUCCCGCAUGAAAGAGACCCAGAAGUCCAUCUAUUACAUCACCGGUGAGAGCAAAGAGCAGGUUGCCAACUCCGCUUUUGUGGAGCGAGCGUGGAAGCGGGGCUUCGAGGUAGUGUAUAUGACAGAGCCUAUCAACGAGUGCUGCGUGCCGCAGCUCGAGGAGUUAGACGGGAAGAGUCUGGUCUCCAUUACCAAGGAGGGCCUGGAGCUGCCUGAGGAUGAAGAGGAGAAGAAGAAAAUGGAGGAGAGCAAGGCCAAGUUCGAGAACCUCUGCGAACUCAUGAAAGAAAUCUUGGAUAAGAAGGUUGAGAAGGUGACAAUCUCCAACAGGCUAGUGUCUUCACCCUGCUGCAUUGUGACUAGCACCUAUGGCUGGACGGCCAACAUGGAGCGGAUCAUGAAAGCCCAGGCCCUUCGGGACAACUCUAAGAUGGGCUAUAUGAUGGCCAAGAAGCACCUGCAAGAUCAACCCUGACCACCCCAUCGUGGAAACGCUGCGGUAGGAGGCCGAGGCAGACAAGAACGACAAGGCGGUCAAGGACCUGGUGGUGCUGCUGUUUGAAACAGCUCCGCUCUCCUCCGGCUUCUCACUCGAGGAUCCCCAGACUCACUCCAACCACAUCUACUGCAUGAUCAAGCUAGGCCUGGGCAUUGAUGAAGAUGAAGUGACCGCAGAGGAGCCCAGUGCUGCUGUUCCUGAUGAGAUCCCCCCGCCCCUUGAGGGUGAUGAGGAUGCCUCUCGCAUGGAAGAAGUAGAUUAG